GCAUAACGCGAAGAACCUUACCUAAACUUGACAUCCCUCGGACCGCUCCUUAAUCGGAGCCUUCCCUUCGGGGACUGAGGUGACAGGUGGUGCAUGGUUGUCGUCAGCUCGUGUCGUGAGAUGUUGGGUUAAGUCCCGCAACGAGCGCAACCCUUAUUGUUAGUUGCUACGCAAGAGCACUCUAACGAGACUGCCGUUGACAAAACGGAGGAAGGUGGGGACGACGUCAAAUCAUCAUGCCCCUUAUGUCCUGGGCUACACACGUAAUACAAUGGCGUUUAACAACGGGAGGCAAAGCCGCGAGGUGGAGCAAAUCCCAAAAAGGCGUCUCAGUUCGGAUUGCAGGCUGCAACUCGCCUGCAUGAAGUCGGAAUUGCUAGUAAUCGCGGAUCAGCAUGCCGCGGUGAAUACGUUCCCGGGUCUUGUACACACCG
rnacentral:rRNA from 1 species